GAACGCUGGCGGCGUGCCUAAUACAUAGCAAGUCGAACGGUCUUUCUAUGGAAGCUUGCUUCCACUGAGAAGAUAGUGGCGAACGGGUGAGUAACACGUGGGUAACCUGCCCAUAAGAGGGGGAUAACAUCCGGAAACGGGUGCUAAUACCGCAUAGUUUUCUUGAUCGCAUGAUCGGGAAAGGAAAGACGGCCUUUGUGCUGUCGCUUAUGGAUGGACCCGCGGCGUAUUAGUUAGUUGGUGAGGUAACGGCUCACCAAGACGAUGAUACGUAGCCGACCUGAGAGGGUGAUCGGCCACAUUGGGACUGAGACACGGCCCAAACUCCUACGGGAGGCAGCAGUAGGGAAUCUUCCGCAAUGGACGAAAGUCUGACGGAGCAACGCCGCGUGAGUGAAGAAAGGGUUUUCGGAUCGUAAAACUCUGUUGUCAGAGAAGAACAAGUUGGAGAGUAACUGCUCCAGCCUUGACGGUAUCUGACCAGAAAGCCACGGCUAACUACGUGCCAGCCGCUGC
rnacentral:rRNA from 1 species